rnacentral:hammerhead_ribozyme from 1 species
GCACUGCUGACGACUCCGAAACAGGACGAAACAGCUGUUCAGUGC